AACGCGAAGAACCUUACCAGGGCUUGACAUCUACAGAAUCCUUGGGAAACCAAGGAGUGCCUUUCGGGGAGCUGUAAGACAGGUGGUGCAUGGUUGUCGUCAGCUCGUGUCGUGAGAUGUUGGGUUAAGUCCCGCAACGAGCGCAACCCCUGUGUUUAGUUGCUAACGAGUAAUGUCGAGCACUCUAGACAGACUGCCGGUGAUAAACCGGAGGAAGGUGGGGAUGACGUCAAAUCAUCAUGCCCCUUAUGUUCUGGGCUACACACGUGCUACAAUGGCCAGUACAGACGGACGCGAAGCCGCGAGGUGGAGCAAAUCCGAGAAAGCUGGUCUCAGUUCGGAUUGCAGGCUGCAACUCGCCUGCAUGAAGUCGGAAUCGCUAGUAAUCGCAGGUCAGCAUACUGCGGUGAAUACGUUCCCGGGCCUUGUACACACCGACGCGUA
rnacentral:rRNA from 1 species